AUGUGCUAGUCGAAUGCAGAGGUCUUUAGGCAUCAGCAGGGAUCCAGGAGGGGAAUUGACCUAAAGACAGGGGCAGUUUCCAAGGAAGCCUAAAAACAGACUUGAUGGAGGUUGUGCCCAUUUUAGAUCACUCUUUCUAGAGUGAGUUUAACCCCUAACACUUGAAACGGUGCUGUCAACUACUCAAAGUAUUGAUGGUAUGAAUUGGAAUUAUAUAAAUAAAUCAGCAUAAUAUUUAGCACUUGACACUAUCAGAGCUGUGUCUAAUCUAAUGAAAUGAAAUACCAGAAUAAUAAAACGUCCACAAAAAUAAAAUAAUGGGCCUAAUCUUACAUACGGUGUUAUGCUCUGCAGUUGAUAAAAUACCUAAUACAGAUAUUAAAUGGUCCUCUCAAAUCAACUCUACUCCUCAGCACAGUUGUAAUCCUGAUGAGAGCAUGGCAUCACCGGCUGAUUAAAAACAACAAUGUCUCAAUAGAAUUGGUAUCCAGGGGAGAGCAGGGAUUAGUCCAUACGUCAAACCAAUAUGAACAUGUCCAGCGGGAGACGACAAGCUCCGCCCUAACCAAGAGCAGGUGCAUACAAGGCUUUUGCUUCCAUUAGCGCAGCCCAAGGGUUCUCUGGGUCUUGUAAUCAAUUUAAUUGCCUCUGGUCACUCCUACUGUAUUAGGAUUACAGGCAGCGCGAGCAUCACAGCGCUAUCUGUCUUUCCAAAAGGGCGUGUGUGGAAGCUCACGCGCACAGGGCAAACAGAACUAUCGGAAGGAUCCGAUACGUCGCGCGAAUUGACCCAUGUAAUGUUGUGAUGAGGCAAUUCCCCAGGGUUUAUCAUCCGUCUUCGUGAAGACCGCAAAAGGCAAUAUUUUGAAGAUGGAGAUUCUGUUUGAGCCGGAGCCUUUAACGCUCCGCUUUCUUCGAACUUUUAGAGAACUUCUCAGAUUUGUCCUUUUCUGUUACACUGUAUUGCUUGGGUCUUUGCUACUGGCUGGAUGGACCACUUACUUCGUUAUUGCAAAAUAAGGAGACAAGAUGACUGCAGUGCACGGAAAGGGGCAAUCACACAAAGAGUAGCCUACCACUUGUAGAAAGGUGAAUAUUCAUUCACUCUUUAUGGACUAAAUGACGCACUUUUACAUGGCUAUUAGUAAGUGACAUAGCUAAUUUGUCUGUUGUAAUUAUACUGUAGCCAAGGCUCGUGCACAACCAAGUUUGUCAAACAAUUUGUCAAAUAUGCGCUUUCCCUCAGACUUGUAAACCUUCAAAGUAAAUGCCAAUAUUCAAAAUGAAUUAAAAUGAGAUCUGUGUUUU